rnacentral:rRNA from 1 species
CCUACGGGAGGCAGCAGUAAGGAAUAUUGGUCAAUGGAUGAGAGUCUGAACCAGCCAUGCCGCGUGCAGGACGAAGGCCCUACGGGUCGUAAACUGCUUUUAUAGUUGAAGAAACCUUCUCACGCGUGAGGAGCUGACAUUAGACUACGAAUAAGCACCGGCUAACUCCGUGCCAGCAGCCGCGGUAAU